rnacentral:lncRNA from 1 species
AGUCAGAUCUGUUCUUCUCUGUUACAAGCUGUUUUAUAUUAGUGAACAUUUUUUAAAUGUGCUUUUUUUGGGCUUCCUCCUGCCCUAUUUUGGUUCCUGUCUCCAUGUUUCUCAUGAAGUGUUUCAGUUCCUCAGCCACACGUUCUCUUGGCAUAGUUUUCGGGAACAUAAAUUUCAAGAUUGGCAAAGGGAUACUGUACCUUACCCAUUCCAUCUGAACAUUAUUACGAUGCCACAAAAUCACCUAUUUUCAUAAUAAAAUAUACCAUGCUUCUUUUUAUUAAUAAUUGAAAAUGAACAGAAAUAUUGUUAUUUGUUUGAGAAGGGCUCCAUUGUUUUUCUUUAGAAUGUUAAUUUCCUGCUUUGCAUUUCCUUCCUCAUAGAUAAAUGCAGAGAACAUGUCUCUUCUUGGGAAAAGUGGGCAUUCUUGAAGAAGUAAAAGAUUGACCUCAUUGUAUACAUUUAAUAAAUACUAUUUUUUUCCAAAGUAUGGUUAAUGACAGGUUGGAUAAUCUCUUGAUUUGGGAACUGAGUUCUACUACAUUUAAUACAAUCCCAAAUGACUAAGACGUGAACCAGAGAACACUGAGUCUGGAGGUUCGCAGUUUCUGGUAUCAUUUCUGUGGCUCAAAAGUGUGAGGGUCAAAGUUUCUCCGUUGUUUCUUACCAUCAUGAUUAUAACAUGGAUAACUGUGGAUCUAACCAUCACAUUCAAAUUCCAGGAAGGAAGCGGGAAAGAGAAAAGGCAAAGUCCAAGAGGCCAAGCCAGCCAAAUCUUUCCCUUUAAAGGGACUUUCCUAAAAAUCCUGCUUCUCUCUGGCCAGGAUGGUAUCACACAACCUCCUAGCUGCAAGGAAAUUGGGAAAUAUAUUUGUUUGUUUUUUUCAGCUGGGUAUAUUGCCACUUCCAGCAAAAGUAGGAAGGAAGAAAGGGAAAAUAGUUACUGAUCAAAAAAUUGGCACUCUGUACCCCUCCUUUUUAUUUAAUUUUUUGGCCUUUCCACAGCAUAUGGAAGUUCCCAGGCCACGGACUGAAUCUGAGCCACAGCUGUGAUGCUUCAGCUGUGGCAACACCGAAUCCUUAACCCACUGUGUCAGGCCAGGAAUCAAACCUGCAUGCCAGCACUCCAGGGACACUGCCGAUCCUGUUGCACCACAGAGAGAGCUCCACCACAACCUUUUCUUGGAAAAAUAUCAUCUUAUUUCAAGAUCAUGUCUGCAAGCUGAUGGUUGCUUUUUAAUUAUAAGAAUAAUAAAUGGGGCCUUCACAAAAUGGCCCCACCGCUGCUUUCAGUCCCUAGUGGACUGAGUUGUAAUUGCUGGUUGAAUUAUUCUGCUAUUACUAAAGCAAGUCGCAUUGCCUUCUCUUGGGGGAAUAGCUUUAGAAUAGCUUCUAAAAGAAAAAUAAAAGAAUUUAAAACACUACCUAUGCAAAACUGUAGUGAGUGGGUCUUAACGGUAUUUUUUAAAGUAUAUUUUCAUGGCUUACUUGUAAUAUAGUAGUUUUGGGGACACAAUAACUACCCACGCAUCAGAAGUUGCCCUUAUGACCAUUUCAGUGCAUAAGGUAUGGUGGUAGGAGAAUUGGCUUUGAAAUGAGACACACCUGGACUUGCAAUGUAGGUAAUAUUAAAAGCCUCCAAAGUGGUCUGCCUGCGUUUGCCCUUGCUAUUUAUAGACCAUUCUCAGCCAGCUGCAGAGAAGACCCUAAAUGAUGUCAGAUAAAGGUACCCUGCUCAAAACCCCCAGUGGCUCCUCAUCCAAAGAAGCCAAAAUCCUUACAAUGGCCUCCAAGGUCCUCUCCUUCUCUGCACACACUGACCCAACCCCCGAGUCUUUCUGACCUCUUUCCUGUCUUUUCUUCCUCUUCCCUCUGUUCCAGCCUAGCCUCCUUGCUGUUGCUCAAAGCCCACUCCCCCUCAGAGCUCUGCACUGCCUCUUCACUGCCUGUAGCACUUUCCCCUCUGAUACCCACAGGGCCCACCCCUCACCCUUUCAGGGCAUUUUUGAAGGUCACCUUUUUUAACGACUUCCUUUAAUCUGCAGAACAAGCUUCCUUUCAUCUUCUUUAAUUUUCUAUAGUACUUGCAUCUAUCACCACUAUCUUCUUAUUGCAUUUCAUUUCAUUUCAGUCGUAGAAGAGGAUUGAAAUCUUUACUCCUAGUCUAGUAUCUUAUUUUAAUUAUUUUUCUAAUUAAUACAGUAAAAAAAAAUUCAAACAGUUUAGGAGUUCCCGUCGUGGCGCAGCAGAAACUAAUCCGACUAGGAACCAUGAGGUUUUGGGUUUGAUCCCUGGCCUCGCUCAGUGAGUUAAGGAUCCAGCGUUGCCAUGAGCUGUGGAGUAGGUCACAGACGCAGCUCGAAUCCGGAGUUGCUGUGGCUCUGGCGUAGGCUGGCAGGUAUAGCUCCAAUUGGACCCCUAGCCUGGGAAUCUCCAUAUGCUGCAAGUGUGGCCCUGAAAAGACAAA